CCUACGGGUGGCAGCAGUAGGGAAUCUUCGGCAAUGGACGAAAGUCUGACCGAGCAACGCCGCGUGAGUGAAGAAGGUCUUCGGAUCGUAAAGCUCUGUUGUAAGAGAAGAACGAGUGUGGGUGUGUAAAGUUCACACCGUGACGUUAACUUACCAGAAAGGGACGGCUAACUAGGUGCCAGCAGCCGCGGUAAUACGUAGGUCCCGAGCGUUAUCCGGAUUUAUUGGGCGUAAAGCGAGCGCAGGCGGUUAGAUAAGUCUGAAGUUAAAGGCUGUGGCUUAACCAUAGUACGCUUUGGAAACUGUUUAACUUGAGUACAAGAGGGGAGAGUGGAAUUCCAUGUGUAGCGGUGAAAUGCGUAGAUAUAUGGAGGAACACCGGUGGCGAAAGCGGCUCUCUGGCUUGUAACUGACGCUGAGGCUCGAAAGCGUGGGGAGCAAACAGGAUUAGAUACCCUAGUAGUC
rnacentral:rRNA from 1 species